CGAGGAUGGCAACGACAAACCAGAGGAGACCAAAGUCAAGAAACCGAAGAGGCACAAUCCCUUCUUGCCUCGAGUCAAGGUCAAAGUUGUUCAGAAGAAU